rnacentral:rRNA from 1 species
AACGAACGCUGGCGGCGUGCCUAACACAUGCAAGUCGAACGAGAAAGGGGCUUCGGCUCCGAGUCAAGUGGCGCACGGGUGAGUAACACGUGGGUAACCUGCCUCUAAGAUUGGGAUAACUCGUCGAAAGAUGAGCUAAUACCGAAUAAGACCACAGUUCCCGCGGGAACAGGGGUCAAAGGUAGCCUCUGCUUGCAAGCUAUCACUUAGAGAUGGGCCUGCGCACCAUUAGCUAGUUGGUAGGGUAACGGCCUACCAAGGCAAAGAUGGUUAGCUGGUCUGAGAGGAUGAUCAGCCACACUGGAACUGAGACACGGUCCAGACUCCUACGGGAGGCAGCAGUGGGGAAUAUUGCGCAAUGGGCGAAAGCUUGACGCAGCAACGCCGCGUGAGUGAUGAAGGCCUUCGGGUCGUAAAGCUCUGUCGGGAGGAACGAAUGCUCCUGAGGUUAACAGCCUCGGGAGGUGACGGUACCUUCAAAGGAAGCACCGGCUAACUCUGUG